rnacentral:ncRNA from 1 species
AAAAUUCUAUGUAAAAUAAUUGAUGAAUAAAUAAAUUUUUUAUGGUUUGAAAAAUUUAUUUUAAGUUUAUUUUACAUAUAAAUUUUAGUGUUAUUUAUUAAUUAUUUUAAUAAUAUUUAAUUAUUUUUGUAGUAAUUAACUUUAAAAAUUUAAGAAAUUAAGAUUUAGUAAUAUAAAAAUUAAUAACUAAUUUUGUGCCAGCAGUUGCGGUUAUACAAAAGUUAAUUUAAAUUUUUUUAGUGAUUAAUAAAUAAUUUAGAGAUUAUAAUUUAAAAUUUAAAUUAUAAAGUGAAAUUUUAAUUUAAUAAAAAAUUAUUAAAUAAUUAUGAAUUAAUAAAUUUUAUAAAAAACUAGGAUUAGAUACCCUAUUAUUAAAAAUUUAAAUUAAUAAUACUUAAAUAGUAAAUGAUUAUUUAUUGAAACUUAAAUAAUUUGGCGGUAUUUUAGUUUAUUUAGAGGAAUCUGUUAAGUAAUUGAUAUUCCACGAAUAAAUUUACUUAAUUUAUAUUUUGUAUAUCGUUGUUAAAAAAAUAUUUUUUAAUAAAAAUAAUAUUUAAAAAUUUUAAUAAAAAAUUAAAUCAGAUCAAGAUGCAGAUUAUAAUUAAGAUUAUAAUGGAUUACAAUAAAUUUAUUUAUUUGGAUUUUAUUAUGAAAUGAAUAAAUAAAAUUGGAUUUAAAUGUAAUUUUAUUUAAAUUAAUAAAAUGAUUAAAUAUUAAAAUAUGUACAUAUUGCCCGUCGCUUUCAUUCAUAAAUUGAAAUAAGUCGUAACAAAGUAGAGGUACUGGAAAGUGUUUCUAGAAAGAA